rnacentral:rRNA from 1 species
GAUGAACGCUGGCGGCGUGCCUAAUACAUGCAAGUCGAGCGAACGGACGAGAAGCUUGCUUCUCUGAUGUUAGCGGCGGACGGGUGAGUAACACGUGGAUAACCUACCUAUAAGACUGGGAUAACUUCGGGAAACCGGAGCUAAUACCGCAUAAUAUUUUGAACCGCAUGGUUCAAAAGUGAAAGACGGUCUUGCUGUCACUUAUAGAUGGAUCCGCGCUGCAUUAGCUAGUUGGUAAGGUAACGGCUUACCAAGGCAACGAUGCAUAGCCGACCUGAGAGGGUGAUCGGCCACACUGGAACUGAGACACGGUCCAGACUCCUACGGGAGGCAGCAGUAGGGAAUCUUCCGCAAUGGGCGAAAGCCUGACGGAGCAACGCCGCGUGAGUGAUGAAGGUCUUCGGAUCGUAAAACUCUCUUAUUAGGGAAGAACAUAUGUGUAAGUAACUGUGCACAUCUUGACGGUACCUAAUCAGAAAGCCACGGCUAACUACGUG